rnacentral:rRNA from 1 species
CCUACGGGUGGCUGCAGUUAGGAAUUUUGGGCAAUGGGGGGAACCCUGACCCAGCAACGCCGCGUGGGUGACGACGGCCUUCGGGUUGUAAAGCCCUUUUCCGUGGGAAGAUGGUGACGGUACCACGGGAAUCAGCCCCGGCUAACUACGUGCCAGCAGCCGCGGUAAUACGUAGGGGGCGAGCGUUGUCCGGAUUUAUUGGGCGUAAAGGGCUCGCAGGUGGCUCGGUGCGUCGUGCGUGAAAGACCCCGGCUCAACUGGGGGAUGUCGUGCGA